rnacentral:sRNA from 1 species
GCUGGGCAUGGUGGUGCAUGCCUGUAAUCCCAGCAGGUUUGGGAGGCUGAGGCAGGAGGAUUGCAAGUUCAAAGCAAGUCUCAGCAAUUUAGCGAGGCGUAAGCAACUCGAGAAGAUCCUGUCUCAA